rnacentral:rRNA from 1 species
AGAGUUUGAUCCUGGCUCAGGACGAACGCUGGCGGCGUGCUUCAUACAUGCAAGUCGAACGAGAAGCUGACUUCGGUCAGUGGAAAGUGGCGGACGGGUGAGUAAUAUGUAGGAAAUCUGCCUCAGAGAGGGGGACAACAGGGGGAAACUCUUGCUAAUACCCCAUAUGAGCUUGGCUGCAAUGCCAAUCUUGAAAACUCCGGUGCUCUGAGAUGAGCCUGCAUCUGAUUAGCUUGUUGGCAGUGUAAUGGACCACCAAGGCGACGAUCAGUAGCUGGUUUGAGAGGAUGAUCAGCCACAAUGGGACUGAGACACGGCCCAUACUCCUACGGGAGGCAGCAGUAGGGAAUUUUGCGCAAUGGGCGAAAGCCUGACGCAGCAACGCCGCGUGUGUGAUGACGCCCUUCGGGGUGUAAAACACUGUCAGUAGGGACGAAACUUGACGGUACCUACAGAGGAAGCACCGGCUAACUCCGUGCCAGCAGCCGCGGUAAUACGGAGGGUGCAAGCGUUGUCCGGAAUCAUUGGGCGUAAAGAGUGCGUAGGUGGUUACCUAAGCGCAAGGUUUAAUCUUGAGGCUCAACCUCAUUCUGCCUUGCGAACUGGGCUACUUGAGUGCAGGAGGGGAAAGCGGAAUUCCUAGUGUAGCGGUGAAAUGCGUAGAUAUUAGGAAGAACACCGGCGGCGAAGGCGGCUUACUGGACAGUAACUGACGUUCAUGCUCGAAGGCGUGGGGAGCAAACAGGAUUAGAUACCCUGGUAGUCCACGCGGUAAACGAUGAAUACUAGGUGUUGGCAUCCAAAGGAUGUCGGUGCCGUCGCAAACGCAUUAAGUAUUCCACCUGGGGAGUACGUUCGCAAGAAUGAAACUCAAAGGAAUUGACGGGGACCCGCACAAGCAGUGGAGCAUGUGGUUUAAUUCGAAGCAACGCGAAGAACCUUACCAAGUCUUGACAUCCCUCUGACCGGCGAGUAACGUCGCCUUUCCUUCGGGACAGGGGAGACAGGUGGUGCAUGGUUGUCGUCAGCUCGUGUCGUGAGAUGUUGGGUUAAGUCCCGCAACGAGCGCAACCCUUAUGGCCAGUAGCCAGCAUGUUAUGAUGGGCACUCUGGCAAGACUGCCCGGGAUAACCGGGAGGAAGGUGGGGAUGACGUCAAAUCAUCAUGCCCCUUAUGAUUUGGGCAACACACGUGCUACAAUGGCGUAACAGAGAGAAGCGAUCCCGCGAGGGGGAGCAAAUCUUCAAAUAACGUCUCAGUUCGGACUGCAGUCUGCAACUCGACUGCACGAAGCUGGAAUUGCUAGUAAUCGCGAAUCAGCAUGUCGCGGUGAAUACGUUCCCGGGUCUUGUACACACCGCCCGUCACACCAUGGGAGUCAGCAACGCCCGAAGUCAGUGACCCAACCUUUCAGGAGGGAGCUGCCGAAGGCGGGGCGGAUAACUGGGGUGAAGUCGUAACAAGGUAGCCGUA